GAGCUGAAAAGUGGGGUGAUUUGAACAGAAUCAUCAAAGCUGAAUUCACUGGUCUUCCGGGCACAUGGUGACGUUGUUUUAAUGGGGGAUUGAGAGGCCGGUCUCCAGAACUAAAGAAAUAGUUGUCUCCAGCUCCAUCAAGAUCUGUCUCCUGUAAUAAAAAGUAUAAACAUAUGACCGAAAGCAAUUCGUAUACAGUCAUAAAAUCUUAUUAAAGCCAUAAAUUCAUAAUAACCACAUCGCCAUGUUGAGUUCGUCGCAAACUUGCUAUGACAGGUUUUUUCUCGUUUGUGACUUUGUGCGGAGGAGCUGUGGAGUUGACACAUUGAUCACCAUGAGCUCAUAUUGUGAUAUCAGGUGCGAGGAAUUGAGUGCUGUUACUGUGAGUUUAACAUUACAUGCAGCUGUUGCACUUGGAAGUUUAGAAAAAUAAAACACACAUUUUAGUUGUAGGCCCAAGUUUGUAAAAACUAUAGUGCACGUGAGCCAUAAACAUUUUCAACCACAGUGUUGACUGUUCUGAAUGCUCAUCUAUUCCUAGUAAACAUCAGCACAGACUUGCCUUUUCUCAUCCCAACCCUGUCUCUAGCAGUGCUCUUUUGAGAGCCCUUUAUUGGGAAGCCUAAUGAAAUUCUAUGUUUUUGAAUUGACUUUUUUCUCUAAGGAUGUAUUUGUAACUAGCUUUUUCUUGACUUAUAUUUGUCGACGGAAAUUGAAAAUAGCGUUGAAGACAGUUCUAAUAAGCUCGUUACCGAGUUUGUUACUACUUCCACAAAACUCACCGACAUCAAGCUUGAUGGAUGGUGAGAACUAUGUGGAGUGGAAGUAUCUAGUUGAAGUUAGUCACAGAGGAAUGGAAAAGGAUGGACAUUUAACAAAAACAUGUCCAAAGGAAACAAAGGCAACAACAAGUUAGAAUGUAGAGGAUAAAUGUAUUUUGACUUUUAAAUUUUAUUGAUAGACAAGUUCAAUCGAUUUGUAGUCGCUGCAAGACUGCGAAAGAGUUGUGUGAUUUUUUUAAUUUUAUUUUUGGUAAAUCUGAUAAUGAGAAUCGCAUUUAUGCUCUUCUGUAAGAGAUUUUUCGCCCCAAACAGGAUAAGCAUAAGUUGAUGGAUUAUUUUUGGGACUUUAAGAAAUAUACAGAGGAGUUGACUUCUCUUCUAGCGUGCAAAUAUGUCGAAGAGAUGUUGACUCAACAAAAGAAACUUAGCCUUGAGUUGGCUUUCUAGUCUUGAUUCAAAGUAUGAGGUGGUUUGAUCCCAAAUUUUGUCAGGUAAGCAAGUUGAUAACGUUACUGAUGUUUUCUCUCGGGUUAUGUAAGCAUCCUAUGGAAGCAAGCCUUACUAUUAUAAUGAUUCCUCUAACCGCUCAGCUUGAAUUGCGCAAUCUUGGGGUCGCGGUGGUUUUCAUAAUGGAGGUAGAAGAAGUAGUGGUGUCGUGGUCGUGGUUUAUAGGGCUUCAACCCAGUGCUUUGGUUGUGGAGAAUUUGGUCACUACUGAAACCGCUGUCCCGAUGCACAAGUUAAUCCUCAUUUUAACAGAUAUACACAGUUUCAGAUUUUCCAACAACCAUCUCCAUCUUCCUCCACAACCACAUUUGUCCUCUUCUUCUCGGCGUUGGGUUAUUGAUUUUGCCGCCACUGAUCAUAUGAAAGGGGAUUCAGAUAUCUUUUCCUCUUUUAGUCAUUCUAGUAAUCAUUCUUCUGUUAUCCUUGUUGAUGGUUCCAAAGUCCAUGUUAAAGGAAACGGGUGUUCUACCUUGGUUUUUACCUUACCUUUGCCAUUGGUUUUAUAUUUACCUUAGUUCCCCUGUAAUCUUCUUUCAAUUAGCCAAAUAACUAAUUUGUUAAAUUGUUCUGUGACAUUUUUUCCCGACUCUUGUGUAUUUCAGGAUUUGUUGACACAGAGGAGUAUUGGUAGAGGACGAGUAUCUAAUAGGUUGUAUUUGCUUGAAGAAGGACUUUCACAAGCAUCAACAACUACCAAAAUUUGCAGCAUGUCACCUUUUCAGCUUCAUUGUUGGCUUGGAAAUCCAUCUUUAGGAGUUCUUAGUAAGUAUUUUGUUACUUUUGUUGAUGACUAUUUUUGUACAACUUGGUUAUAUCUAAUGAAAUCCAGAUCUGAGUUAUUUACUAUAUUUUGCAAUUUGUGUUGAAAUUUGUACUCAGUUUAAUUGUCAUGUUUGCAUUCCUCGAAGUGAUAAUGCCAAAGAAUAUUUUUUUUCCACAAUUUAAUACUUUCGUGAAUCAAAGUGGCACGAUUCACCAAUCAUCUUGUAUUGUUGCUCCACAAUAAAAUGGAGUUGCUGAGUGCAAAAACAGGCAAUUAAUGGAAGUUGCCCGAACUUUAUUGAUUGAGAUGAAAGUUCCAAAAGUUUUUUGGACAAAUGUAGUACUCACUACUGUCCACUUAAUUAAUUGCACGUAUUAUCCCAUAUUCUUUCAUGUUUUCUUCUCAUUUUUUGUUUUCUUUACCCCCCAAAAGAUUUGGUUGCACAUGUUUUGUGUUUGAUGUUCGUUCGCAAGUAACUAAGUUGUAUCCAAAGUCAUUGAAGUGUGCAUUUUUGGAUUACUGUCGUAUCCAAAAGGGGCAUUGUUGCUUUUCCCCAGAUCUUGGUUGUUAUCUAGUGUCAGCUAAUGUCUCAUUCUUUGAAGAUCAUCCUUUUUUUGUUGAGUCCCAAUCGUCCAUGCCAAUGUGACUCAGAUGAUUUUGUCUUAACUUAUACCAGUACCCACUAUAUUCCUCCAACUCCUAUUGCAACAGGUUUCAAGUUCUUUGAGCAAACAUAUUCACGCAGUCCCCAGGUUUCAAGAGAGGAUAUCCCAAAAGAAACUCAACCUCUACCACCUCCAAUGCCUGCAGAUUCUGCAAAUGGCCUUCCAAUUGCCUAACGCAAAGGAAAAUGUACUUGUACUUAUCUUAUUUUCUCUUAUGUGUCUUCUUGUCUUUUGUCAUCUACUUCUAAUCCUUUGUUGCUGGCAUAAAUGCUAUUAAUCAUGAUGGUUAGAGACAGACCAUGGAGGAGGAAUGCUAUUAAUGACACUUGGAAUUUACUUUCUCUUCCUGCAGGCAAGCAAACUAUUGGAUGCAAAUGGAUGUAUACUGUCAAGAUGAAUCCAGAUGGCUUUGUGGCUCGCUUUAAAGCACGACUAGUGCUAAAGGAUAUGCUCAAACAUAUGGAGUUGACUACUGAUACUUUUUCCCCCGUGGCUAAACUUUCAUUUAUUCGUAUUAUUAUAUCUCUUACUGCCAAACACCACUAGCCCUUGUGUCAAUUAGAUGUGAACAAUGUUUUCUUGCAUGGUAAUUUACAAGAGGAGGUGUAUAUAGAGUAACUACCUGGUUUUGUUGCUCAAGAGGGAAAUGGACAAGUCGUGGUUUAGAAGAUUCAGUGAAGUGGUUUUGACAUUUGGAAUGAAAUGAUGUCAGAGUGAUCAUACAGUAUUUUUUAAUAAAAGCGGUUGUGAGAAUAUCUUACUUGUGGUGUAUGUUGAUGAUAUUGUAAUUACAGGAAGUGAUAGCAAAGGAAUUGACAAAUUGAAGGUUUUCCUCCAAAUCAAAUUUCGAACCAAAAAUUUGGGAGUCUUGAAGUACUUCUUGGGCAUUGAAGUUAUGUAUUCAAAGAAGGGAAAUAUGUUCUGGAUGGAUUUAUUGAGUGGAAACUAGUAUGAUGGGAUCCAAACCAUGUGAGACUCCUAUGUAGCCUAGAGUUAAGCUGACAGGGGAUGAAGCUCCUUUCUCGGAUCCACAGAAGUAUCGAAGAUUGAUGGGGAAUUUAAAUUACUUAAAACUUUUACAAGACCUGAUAUUGUUUUUCCUGUAAGUGUUGUAAGUCAAUUUAUGUCUUCCCCCAUUGACACUCAUUGGAAAGCACGAAUCUGCAUUGUUAAAUAUCUGAAAAAAGCUCUGAGAAAGGGAAUUGUGUACCAAUAUCAUGGACAUAUGCAUGUGGAGGCUUUUUCUGAUUCAGAUUAGACAGGAUGUCCAGUGGAUCGGAAGUCUACCACAAAAUAUUAUGUAUUCUUCAGAGGUAAUAUGAUAUCUUGGAAAAAUAAGAAAUAAAUUGUAGCAGCAAGAUUAAGUGGAAAGGUAAUUUGAUAUCUUGGAAAAGUAAGAAAUAAAAUGUAGUAGCAAGAUUAAGUGGAGAGGUAAUUUGAUAUCUUGGAAAAGUAAGAAAUAAAAUGUAGUAGCAAGAUUAAGUGGAGAGGUAAUUUGAUAUCUUGGAAAAGUAAGAAAUAAAAUGUAGUAGCAAGAUCAAGUGGAGAAGUAUAAUAUAUGGCUAUGGCUCAAACAACUUGUAAACUGAUAUGGGUAAAACAAAUCUUGGAUGAAAUGGGAUUUGAGAAUAAUUAUCCUAUGAAAUUGUGGUGUGAUAACCAGACAUAUCACAUCAAAUCCGAUCUUUCAUAAAAAGACAAAACACAUUGAGGUAGACUGUGAUUUUAUCAGAGAGAGAGAGAGAAAAAAGGUUCAAAAAAAACUCAUAUCCACUAGAGAAAAGGUUCAAAAAAAUCUCAUAUCCACUUUCUUAUGUUAGGACAGGAGAACAACACGCAGAUUUAUUUACAAAGACAUCGAACGGGGUGCAGAGUGAUUUCAUUUAUAAUAAGUUGAACAUAAUUAAUAUAUAUGCUCCAACUUUAGGGGAGUAGUAAAAAUUAUAUUAUAAUAGUAUAUUACUAGGUUUAGUAUUAAGGAGAUGGGUGUGACCCUUUUGCUCCAACUUUAGGGGAGUAGUAAAAGUUAUAUUAUAAUAUUAUAUUACUAGGGUUUAGUAAUUAAGUAGAUGGUUGUGACCCUUUUUGUCUUUCUUAUAUAGUAUUAAAAUAUAAAUACGAGGGUCACCACUAUGAGUAGGAUAGAGACGGAAAUUACCUACUCACCCACCUCCUACCACGAAAGUAGCUACACCGAAACUGAAUCAAAACAAUUAGCUGGAACGCCACUAAGAAGUCUAGCACCGCGGCGAUCAAGCUGCUUGACAUGAGCAGAAGCUUUCAAGUUGCCAUGCUUUUGAAAAGCCCGAACCAUCUGUUGGCCAAUGAAGCGUCCCUUAUCCUCAUCAUCCGUGACAGCAACUGCAGUAGGUCCAGAACCACUGAUAGUGCAUCCGUAAGCUCCGGCAUCAAUAGCAGCCUUCUUCACAGCAACCAUCCCAGGAAUCAACGCUGCACGCUUCGGUUCAACAAUUGUAUCCGACGACAAAGCUUUCCCCAACAUCAACAAAUCUCCCUGUAAAACUCCAGCCACCAGAGCCCCUGCCUGGCUACAAUUCCACACAUGAUGCGCCAUCCCUAUUUCCACAGGAAGUGCAGAUCUCAUCUUCUUCGUUGGGGCUUCAAAUUCAGGUGUCACCAGUACAAAAUAUAACACUUUUUCAGAAGGAAACUUCAACCGCACCAACUCCAAGGGUUCGUAAUUCCUAACCAGAACAAAUCCCCCCAUGAUUGACGGCGCUACAUUGUCUGCAUGAUAACCGGACACCGUCUCCUCGGAUUUUAAGCAUGCGACAACAAGUUCGUCCAUGGUCAAUCUUUUCCCAAAUAACUCGUUCACGGCAACGGCGGCGGCGGCUGCACUGGCGGAACUGGAUCCCAACCCGCUCCCUAAAGGUAAACCUUUCUCGAGGGAGAGGGAAAGACCGACAGAUCGAACGCCGAGCAUUUUCAUGGCUUCCAUGGCGGCAAUACCAGAGCAGUUCCAGAGAGGGUUUUUACUGAGUUUGUGAAUGUUUGGGGUUUUACCUGAAAUAUGUGAGAUAGAUAUCUCGCCGGGGUGAACAUCUGGAUCCACUCUUGCUGAGACUGUGUCCCCAAUACCAUCCACCGCACAACCCAUGAAGUCGAAGCCGGGUCCUAGAUUAGCCACCGUGGCCGGAGCAAAGGUUUUUACCGAUGAAAAAACAGCGCGCGGCUCACCGUCAUAGGUCAUUUUCUGAGCGUAGCACAUCAAUCGGAGAGUUGGUGGCAUGGUAGGUUUAGUUUUGGUGGCUUUCAAGUUCAGUGAGGCUGAAGACGUAGGGAGCCAUGUUGUGGCCGCCAUUGUUGUCUUUCUUCGCCUCUUAGGAUUUGAUAUUACUAGUAGGUUGUUAAGUACUAUUUUAGAAGAGAGAUACUAGGGAAUCUUUUAUACUUCGAAUAUUUUGGUAUUCAUUUCGAGAAUUUAAAUUGUAAUGCAAAGGCUUUUUUUUAUCUAGGAAUCUUUUCUAGUUAAAAUAUUUCGGUGUUGAUUUACUGCCCAAAUUUACCUUUCAAAUAUUCAAUUUAUGUCACCAUUGUCCUUGCAUACCUACCAAUAGAAAUUAUUUGUACGGUAAUAUUAAUUUUUUUGAAUACAUCAAUGAUAAAAAUAAUUUAAUAUUAUUUAUUUAUUUAUUAUAAUUUUUUAAUUUAUCUAAAAAUGUCAAAUAUAACACAUAAAGGAAUAAUAAUAUUUAAAGUUAAAUGAAAGAUGAAAGAGAAAAUUAUUAUUAUUAUUAUUAUUAUUAUUAUUAUUAUUAUUAUUAUUGUGUUUUACAAAAUUAAUCACACAUUUUAUGAAAUGUUUGUAUAAAUAAAAUCUUAAAUUAUUUAAUUGAACUCAAGUGAUUAAUGAGUUCUAGUUAAGUAAGAUUAGUUUGAUUGAUGUAUAUUUUUAUGAUUUUGUAAAUAUGUUUUAAAAUUAAAAAAAAAAAUCUAUUAAAAGAUAAUACUUUAACUUUUAAAAAAAUGAAAUAUAAAAAUUUUAAAACGAUUUUUUUUAAUUAAACAUAUUAACACUUAUUAUAUUUUAGAAGAAUUAGUAGUGUUUACCUUUUAUUAAUGAUAAAGAAAAGUUAAAUAUAUUUUAUAAUAAUGAUGCAAGUAAUACAAAGAGAUAUGAUAAAAAAAACUACGAGUGGCACGAGUAAAAGAUAUAGCGUAUAAAUCAUAUGUUUAAGUUCUUCAUACAUAUUCUGUUUUGUGAUUUAGUCAUGAUAUUAUUUGUCUAACUAAAGCAAUUAAUCCACCAUUGAAAGUUGGGGAUGUUGACGAAGAUAUUUUCUACGUCCAACUAUAAUAAUAUAAUUCUGACGCAAUAACGGUCCACCCCCUCUAGCAGUUGGUCACUCCAGAGGUCGUGGUGGAUUGGCCACACAUCUAGGUCAUACCAGGUUUUCACUUAGGGGAAUGGGAAUCGGCCCAUAGUCGAGCACAAUCCUAGUGACGUCCAAUAAACUUUGACGGAGUACCUCGUAAGUUCACACAGAAUCUAGAGUCUUGCACUCGGGAUCAUACAAAUAGACAUCCAAAGUCUCGAACUUAGGAUCACACAAAUACAUCUUAGAUAUGUAAAAAUACAAUUCAUUUCACACACACACAAUAUAUAUAUAUAUAUAUCAUAUAUAUACUCUUUAAUUACAAGUGGGUAUCUACAAUAAGUAAAUCGACUACAUAUACCAACAAUAGUAAAAUAGUUAUCAUUUUUCUUUCUGGAGAAAGAAUAAUCAGACCUAGAUCGAGUGUAAUCGAUAUUGAUAAGUUGUUAGUGAGUUUCUGACUUUAUUUCCUACUUGCUUGUUUUAAAUCUGUAUCGAUUGGUUUAAUUUACAAACUAGGUUAUUGUUAUUAGAGACUUUUAGACCUGUAGGGAGUUACACAUAAACAUCCUCGUCUAAGUCACCAUGAAUAAAAGUGGUGUUAAUAUCUAGUUGUUGAAGGUAUCAGUUGUUAGAGGCACCCAAAGAUAAAAUAAGACGGAUAAUGGUCAUCUUCACAACAUGGCUAAAGGUUUCUAGAUAAUCAAUAUCUUUGGUUUGAUUGAAACUCUUAGCUAUUAAACGAGCUUUGUACCUAUUUAUAGUUUUAUUGGCUAAGAAUUUAAUUUUGAAUAUCCAUUUACAGUUAACAAGUUUUUUGUUAUAAGGGAGAGGUAAAAUGUCCCAAGUUUUUGUAAUUUUAAGGGAAUCAAUCUCAUUAGUAAUGGUUUGCUGCCAAUUAGGGUCCUUAAUGGCUUGAAAAUAAGUGGUGAGUCCUUUAUAGUGAAUAACUUAAGAUUAUAUAUUCUAUGAGAAUCAGAUAAGUUGUUAUAAGACAAAUAGUUUGAAUAGUGAAUUGGAUAACACUUGAAUUGCUGAUUUGGGAAGGAGUUUUACCUUGAAGGAAGCAACAAUGAUAGUCUUCAAGGUAUGUUGGAGGUCUUGAGGUUUGGUUGGAUUUACGUGUGGGUGGGACUUGAGUAGGUUCAGGAUUAGCAAUGGGAUGAGGGAUGGGAUGAUGAGUUAUAUGUGAAGGAGGUGAGGUAUGAGGAGUGUUUGUAUUCGGUAUAGAAUUUGUGUGAGAGAUAGUGGUGAUAUAAUCAAAAGAAUAAUCUAUUAAUAUGUUGGGAUUCAUAGGAUUGGAGUUAUGAGUUGGAUAAUUUGUGGUAUUAUUGGUGUGGGGAAAGAUAUAUUCAAAAAAUAUGGUGUCUCGAGAGAUGAUUUUUUUUAAAAAUCAAAUAGAACAUCUCCUUUAACACCAUAGUCAUGAUCCAGGAAAACACAUUUUCUAGUCCUAUAGUUAAAUUUGGUUAUUUUGUAUUUAGAAGAGGUGGCAUAAACUAAAUAACCAAAGACCUUAAGGGAAGAAUAAAUGGGAUGAUUGUAAUACAUAAUAUAAAAAGGAUACUUGUUAUGCAAAAAUUUGGAAGGUAAUUCGUUUACUAAAAAACAGCAUGAGAGAUAGGAUGAGCCCAAAAAAAUUAGAAACUUUAUAUAUUUUCUAAAAAGGCCUUUGCCACAUAUAGUAAGUGUUGGUGCUUUCUCUCAACAAUACCAUUUUAUCGAGGGAUAUCAACACAUAAAGUUUGAUGAUGAAUACCAUUUGUCAUGUAAAAGUCUUUUAAAAUAAAUUCAGGGUCAUUGUCGGUCCCAAUGGUUUUAAUAAUUUUUUAAAAUAGAGUUUUAAUGAAUGAAAAAAAUAUUCGGCAAGGUAAAUAGUUUCAUAUUUGGCAUGCAUGAGAUAAAUCUAACAAAAACGACUAUGAUCAUCUACAACAAUUAAAAAAUAAUUAUAACCUAAGACAAACGUUGUGCAGUAAGGACCCUAAAUGUCCAUGUGUAUCAUAUCAAAACAAUUAUUAGAGUGAGAUUUACUAUUUUGAAAAGAUAAUCGUUUGUGAUUGGUAGAUAAACAGGGUUCACAUGGUGUAAUAUACUUAGAAAAAUUAUGUAAAGGAAAAACUUUAUUUAUUUCAGUAAGAGUAGAAUGGGAAGGGUAGCCUAAGCGAUAAUGCCACAGAUUACAUUGAGUAAUAUUAUUGAUUUUAUUGUUUCUAGGGGGAACAUAUGUAAUAGGAAAGCUGAGUUAGUAUAAUCUUUGAUGAAGAUUUGUUUCACCAAUCAUCUUCAGGGUAACAUUUCCCUGCAUAGUGCAAGAGGUGGCAUUAAAGUUAACACUAUAGUCAAGGGAAUUAGUUAUCCUAGGUAUAGAAAUGAUAUAGGUGCAAAACUGAGGAAUAUACAAAAAAUCUAGAAAGUAAAAAUCUUCAUUAAGUUUGAUAAUGAUGUAUUGGUUAGUGGUAAUAGUGUUUCCAUUAUGAAGCUUUACAUCUAUGGCGGGAAUAUUCGUAAGUGUGUGAAACAGAUGAUGAUAAUGACACACAUGAUAUGUGACCCCUGUAUCUAAGAUCUAGGUAGUGCUACUACUAAGCAGAAAAGGUGUAGGAAGAAUACUGGAGGAUGUGCUUACCAUAGUUUGAAAUUAUUGAAUAUUGUUGUUUGAACUGGCUGAAGUUGGUGACUGAAGAAGAGCUAGUAGAGCUUAAUGUUGUUCAACUGUGAAAGAUUUUGUUGGUUGGUUGGUUGUGAUGGUCUUCUAGAGUUGGUUUUUGGUUUUCAUUUAUGUGUUAUAAUGAGGCAGUGGUUUGAUUGAUAUAAGGCUUCUUGAGAUAAGGUGGGAGGUCAUGUUUCUUGAAGGAUACAUCAAUGGUGUGACCUGGUUUGUUGCAGUAGCUACAUAACUUGUUGUUUCCUCUGCGACGACCAUAAGAUAAAACUUUGUUGGUUUGAUCAGGAUGACGAAUCCGAUUGUUGGGUUUGUAGAAGUUAGCGCAAAUUUUUUCAUCAGGGACAAAGACAAGGAAUUAACAUUCUUGUUAGAUUAACAUAGAAAAGACCUGGUUGACUUGGGGAAAAGGACUCAUCAACAUUAUCCACAACCUAACUCAAGAAUAUUGGUCGUUAAGGCCUUUUGGAAAUAUGAUAACAUAAUCAGAAUCAUUAUAGGAUUUUAUAGUGGGCAAGAGGUCGCAAGAGCAUUUAAGGUUACAAGUACAAAUGGGUAGAAGGCGGAAGUUUUUGAGUUCCUACCAUAGCUUUUUCAAAGUGGUAAUGUAUUGUGUGAUAUUUUUGUCACCUUACUUGAGGAUGCAUAUCUCCUCUUGAUUGACUGCAAUGCAAAAAACGUCCCAUUGGUGGUAUUGCUCACCCAGUUCAACACAUAUCAUGUGCACGGUAUCCACCCAUAUAAUGUUAUGAGCAAUUUUUUAUGUAAUUGAAUUGGUCAUCCACGCCAUGACCAUCGUGUCGCAAUGGCCCAAAGCAAGAGAUAAACGGUCGAUUUUAGGAGGUCAAGUUAAGGUUCUGUCUAGAAACAUGAGUUUGUUUUAGGAUCACAUAGAAACUAUUAUGGAUCUUGACCAAGAGUGAAAAAAUUGAUUAUUCAGAGGAGGGGACACAAUAGUUAGACCCGGGUUGUCACUAGGGUGAAUGAAUUGCAUGAGGAGAAGGUGGAUUAUUGAUGGUGUUAUCAUCUUGAUUUAUGUUGAUGGACGUCAUUCUUACGAAGUUGAUUGUUCAUGAACUUGAAAGGAGAACAUUAGGGUUUAUUGUGAAGGUUUAUGGAUCGAUGAUCUGGGUGAUUAAUGUUUAUGGAUCGAUGAAUCUGGUUUAUGGAUCGAUGAAUCUGGGUGAUGAAUAUAUGAAUGUUUUUGGGUUACAAAUGGAUAUGAGAAAAUGUGAAGUCUUAGAAGUUUUCCGGGAAUAUCUUUCAGAAUGAUACGAAAAAUAAGAAGAUUUUGCUGAAUUGGUUAUUAUUUGUGAGAAAAUAAACGACGUUGAGAUGAGCAUUUGAAGGAUUGUUGGAAAACUUAAAUAAUAUGGUUUAAAGUUAUGAAUGUAUCUAGGUAGAUUGCUGAAUGUGUAAAGGAAAUCAGAUGAAGGGGUUGAAUAUUUAAUGAGUUUCAGGGUGAUUUUUUGGGUAAAAUAACGACAGUAUGUUGAAAAGGAGAUGAACGGAUUAAAGAUUUGAUGAAUGUUAGGAUUUAUUAAGAAUAUUUGUAUAUAAAAUAGUCUCAGAUCGACUAUAGCAUAUAAUCAAUUGUAUUCCCUCUGUAUAUAAUACAAUCUCCAUAGUGCCUUUUAAAAACACAGAGUUUAUUCAAACAUGUUUUACUCUUUUAUACUUCAAUAUGGUACCUAGAACUUUUUAAGAUUCAAUUGUUCGUCGUGUUUUACCUGAUUGACCCACUGUGUUUCGAUGGAAAAAAAUCGGGGUGACGCAUUCCAGUCAUCACCAUACUGCCUCUUUUUCGGCCAUAUUCGGCACUACCGCCACUCAUGACGUCCUUUCGACAAGAUAACUAUACCGUCAGAAUCGCCUCUUCCAAAUUGACAAGUCCUCAAAAUCUCGCUGUCACCUAUAUUCCCAUGCUCCCUCAAGCGUCAGUUCUCCUUUCGUGUGUGGACCACACGCGUCACCGCUCUAGCAACGCUUAAGGUCCUCAAAAUCUCAUUGUAUGUGAUUGAUGUACAUGACGGGUGAUUGGAAUAGGGAGUGAUUCUGGAUGACUAUAUCAUCUAUCACCAUCGGUGGAAUGUGCUUUUAUUGCUUCUUAAAGUCUUACACAUCAACGUUCAGAUCACCCUGACCUUAAUAAACCAGGUCUUUUAAUUCCUAAUUUUUUAAGCUUUCAUCAUUUGAGUGUCAUUCAUGUCAAUUAGACAAACAUACUCAUCACCUCUAUUACCAACGAGUAAAUAAAGGUGUUGUAUCAUCUUUUACUUUAGUUCAUCAUGAUAUUUGGGAUCCUAGACAUGUUAAGUCAACUUUAGGAUAUUAUUACUUCAUAACCUUCAUCGAUGAUUUUGCACGAUGUACUUUGUUAUUUUUGAUGAAAACAUGUUAGAUGUCUUCCAUAUAUUUCAAGAAUUUUAUGCUGAAAUUAAAAAACAGUUUGACACUUCCAUUUUUGCGCACUGAUAAUGCUCGUGAAUAUAUGUCAUCACAGUUUCAAUCUUUUUUAACAUUAUAGGAGAUUAGUCAUCAAUCAUCAUGUGCUUACACACCACAAUAAAAUGGUAUCACUGAACGAAAGAACUGUUAUUUAGUUGAAAUUGCACAGACUCUUUUACUUCACCAUAAUGUCCGUUCUCAUUUUUAGGGUGACACUCUUCUCACAUCUUGUCACCUUAUCAACUGAAUGCCUUCAUCGAUCCUACAAGAUCAAAUUCCAUACUAUAUCUUGAACCCACAAUAUGAUCUCUACCUCACUCAUCUCUGCGUCUUUGGUUUUACAUGCUUUGUUCAUAACCCCAGUCCAGGUAAAAACAAACUUUUUUCCAAAACUCUCAAAUACAUCUUUCUAGGCUACUCAUAUAUAUAAAAAGGAUAUCAUUAUUUUUGUCCCCAACUUCAAAAAUACAUCGUUUCCUCCUAUGCCAUUCUUUGAAACCUCAAUACCUUUCUCUACCUCUAUGCUACCUGGUGAGAUUGGUACUUUAGAUGCUCGAGAUAUUCAUUCCAUCAUUCUCACACCCAUUACAUUUUCAUUGAAUGUCUACCAACGACGGGGGGUAUCCGUUCAUCAGAAGUUAGAGAUGAUAUUGAUCCAUCAACACCAUCUCCUGCUCCUUCAGUUACGUCACAUGCACUUAACCUUCCAAUAGCAUUUCAAAAAGGUAUUUGAUCUUAUCAUCUUAAUCCUAAAUAUGCUUGUGUUUUAAAUUAUGACCGUCUUCCUACUUCAUAUGUCCUUUUUGUGUCUAUUUUAGAUUUUGUGUAUGAGUGUACAAGUGAAGUUAUGACUAAUCCUAAUUGACGUCAUGGUGAAAGAAAUGGUUGCAUUAAUUCAAAUAACAUUUAGGAUAUUGUUAUUUUACCUCUUUAUAAAAAAAAUUAAAUGGUUGAUUGAUGUAUAAUUUUAGAAUUUUAUGGAGAUGCUUAAAAAUUAAAAAUAUUAUUAAAAAAGUAAUAUUUUAACUUUUAAAAAAUGAAAUAUAAAAAUUUUAAAACGAAUAUUUUUAAAUUAAAUAUCUUAGCACUUAUUCUACUACUCUAGAAGUAUUAGUAAUGGUAACCUUUUAUCAUUGAUAAAAAAAGGUUGAAUGUACUUAAUUUAUAAUAAUGAUAUAAAUUGGGUAGAAUAAAAACAAGGAGCACACGGGAAAAGAUGUCGCCUUUGCUCGAGGUGAGCCGUAUCAUUCGCUCACGUAAGUUACGGUCAAGUUGGAAAAAAAUACUAAAAAAGCAAUAGUAAAAUAUAAUUCAUUAAUUGUGUUUGGUUAUAAAUGUGGUCCACCACUACCUUGCUAUCAACCUCAAAAGUCACAUGAUGGUAUCCCGACUCCAAAUGAAUUUUGAUUUCUUAUUGUCAUGAUGCAUAAGAGAGGUGGAAUCUUGGAGGACUACAGCCGUCACGCAUGCUAGCACAGUUAACAUGUUUCACAAAACAGACCUCACACAUUAGAUAACCAAGUAAAUGCAACACUCAUAAAAAUGGAAAAGGUUCAAAACAUAGGUGCAACGAAGGAGAAGAAAACAAAAUAAAUUAUGCAUCUGUCAACUAAAGAGCUUAUCCAACAACCACUUCAAAGAAUUAUUUGAAAUUUUUCUUUUAAAUUGUAUUUUCUUGAAAGGGAAUUUGAUUUUGCUCACCAACAACUACUACUAUGCGGAAAUUGGUUUGUCAAUCAAUAUGUAAUAAUAAUAUUGCUUCAGUUUUUGUUUGAUGUUUCAAUCAAAUUGAAGUUUCAAUUAAAGAAAUUGCUUCUCUCAUCUAUUUGCGUGCCAAUCAGACGGUUUCAAUAAGAAAGGAAAAGAAGAGAAUCAUUGGGACCAAAUGAAUAUCAAAGUCCACACCAUCAACUACCAUUUUACAAUCCAUCUCAAAUAUCAUCCUUUGUUUUACAAUGGAUUUUUCCAUAGAAUAGCUAAGAGUGGUCCCAAAGCUCUACUUUCUACCCUACAUCAGUCCGUCUGGUUAACAAUGUCAAUUCAAAUCUAUUACAUGUGAUAUUUGAGGAUCAAAACUCUGUCACAUGUCAUUCAUUGUAAAAUAAAAAACAGAUCAGCCUGAAAAACUAACCCUUGUUGAGAUGAAGUUAUGCAACUAAUUAGACAAAUUAAGUUCAAACUAUAACUCACUAAAAAAAAUUAUAAUGAAAUUCUGAUUGUUAUAGUUUAAACAAAACUAAAAUCAAAUAGUCAUCAAUAGCACAAUCUCAUCAAGUGGAGAUAUUUUAAUGGGGACUCAAUGGAAAAGCCAAAAAUAUGAACAGACCUUCACUUCAAAUUCAAGAAAGCAAGUGGGAUUGUUGGGUUUAACAAAACCCAGGCCCCACCCCAAAGAAAAAGAGAGAGAUAAGGAAUACACAAGAUUAAAUACAAAGAAUACAUUACAAAUAAGAGGUGUCAAACAGAAAGAUGCACAACUUGCUCCUUGCUCCUUGCUCCACCAGAGGCACAUCUCGGAAGCUAAAAAGCACUCCAAUGAUCGGAUUCUCUUUUAGGAGUUUGAUUUUCUGAUGAAGUCCAAUGAUCAGAUUCUCUUUUAGGAGUUGGACUUUCUGAUAAAGUCCAAUGAUCAGAUCCUCUUUUAGGAGUUUGAUUAUCGAAUGAAGUCCUAAAAGGCCCAGAGCCAAAGGGAUCCGAGUCAUCAAAAGCAGGAAAACCAUGAUCAUAAUCCACACUGUUGCGGACAGAAUCAAAUCGGACCGGUGUUUCCCGAGCAGGUAAAGAUGCACUAUCAUGUGUGCUAAAUGAAUCAAAUCGGACUGGUGCUUCCCGGGCAGGUAAAGACGCACUAUCAUGUGUGCUAAAUGAAUCAAAUCUUGAAAAAUCAAAAGCGUUUUCCAACCAGUCUUUAGGCUUUUGUGGGGAGCUACCCGAGCUGAAAAGUGGGGUGCUUGGAACAGAAUCAUCAAAACUGAACCCACUUGUCUUCUGGAAAGGACCACCAGCCUGUGCUGACGCUGUUUUAAUGGGGUUAAGGCCCAGGUCUCCAGAACCAAAGAAAUAGUUGUCUCCGGCUCCAUCAAGAUCUUUCUCCUGUAAUAAAAAGUAAAAACAAAUGUCCAAAAGCAAUCAGUAAGAAUAUAUAAGGAUGACAUCUAACCCUAUGAGUUUGAUACUAAGAAACAGUCAUAAAAUCUUAUUAAAGCUAUAAAUUCAUAAUAACCAAAUGACCAUGAUUUGCAUCAGUCAUAAGUAUUGUGUAACUAUCGAAAUCUCCAGAACCUCCAAGUCAUAUUCUCCACAGACACAUGGAAACUAAUAUCAAACAAUAAAAUUUAAUAGUAAUUACAAUGAGUUUCCAAGAAAUUCGAGAGUCUUGGUUCUCUCCCUUCCAAGAAUUUGAGAGCUUGGUCUCUCCCUCCCAAACAUAACCUCUUUCUAAUUUACAGCCUCACCAGACCAUGGUUUUGUUUUCCUUUUUAUUCUACCUAAGUUUUGUAACUGCUCCUAAUAAUAAUAAUUGUUACUCUAAUAAUACUAAUGGCUACAGAUAACAUUUAAUCAAAGUUGUUAGAUCAAGAUCUUACAUAAAAUCGGAAGAGUAUAUCAAAAUUGUAAAAUAUAAAAUCGUAAUUAAGAUCGCAAGAUUCUACUCACUUAUUUUUAUAGAAUCGAUAGGGUAUAACAAAACCGUAAAACAUAAAAU
rnacentral:lncRNA from 1 species